CGUUUGACGAUGACCUAACGCUUUUACGCGUUGGCUAAUAAACAACACUUUCGAAGAUGAUUUUGCAACGCAGUUGAACUUUAGCUAAUUCAUUUUAUUUAUUUGUUUAGCUAACGCAUCAUAAAGAAAAACAAUGUAGAAUGCGAAAACGGGUAUAUUUGUUCUGCUAUAAAGUUUCUGGUGCUAGCUAGCUAAGCACAACAACUGGAUGGCCUUUAUUUUCAUGUGUGUUUUUCAGCCAGUGCUGACCAGCGAACUCAUCAUUUCGCAUGUCAACAUCCCUGGAUUUUCUAAGGAUGAAGAGAAAAGUGUCUCGAUUACGGUUAAGUCCAAAUGAAGAAGCGCCAAUCAUUCGAGAGGAACACGAAAGGAGAAGGAAGCUGCGAAUAGAACAGAAGCCUGACUGUGGCAAUUGCACAGAAAAAUGAGGAGAAUAACGUUCGGGCAGAUGAACGCUAUCGACUCGCCAUCAAAGCGCUCAAAUCUCAGAGACAGAAAAGGGAGGAACAAAAUCGUCUUAUUGAGGCUAGGAAGAAGGCCAUACAAGUGGAGAAGGAGAGGGCAGCAAAAGUGGCCAACCUCCCACCCCUUCCACCCAACCCAAUUGAGAAUAUUGAGUCAAGGAAGCUACUUGGAGUGAAGAAAUUGGACGUGGAUGCCUUCUUAUCACAUGCCAGAGACUACAGUGGACAGGGAAGUUGACACAGCACAGCCAAAGGCAUGGGAGGAGGUGUGGUGCCUGCAGGAGCUAGGACAGGAGGUGCUUAGGGGCAACCACGUGCUGAGGAGGGAACGGCUCACACAGGUACAUACUUCUACACAAUCACGCUCAACUUGUUGAAGACUAUUCAAGUGAUAACAUGGCAGAAAAGUUAAUGUACAACUUUCUGCAUUACGAGGCUAAAUCUGUCCUGAGCUGUUAAAGGAAUGCCUGAAAUCCUUUCAAUGCAUAUUGUAUGCGUCAAGACCAAGACAACAGCAAUACUUAUGUUUUUCUGCUGUGUCAGGACCGAGAGCGCCUCCUAAUAUAUAAUAAUAAUAUAUGCCAUUUAGCAGACGCUUUUAUCCAAAGCGACUUACAGUCAUGUGUGCAUACAUUCUCCUGGUGGAGCUGGAGCGCAUGCAUCAGACAGACCUGUUGAGGUGAAUGCAUUUGAUGACUCAGAUGCCUGCCCAGAUCUUCCAGCUGCUCUCCAAGAGACAGGAGAUGAGGGAGGACUGGCAGAGGGACAUGGAGUUCACCUUUGAGGACAUGUACACUGGAGAGAGGAGUGAGGAGUGAAAUGUGACCUGGUACUGCAGCUGGUCCCAGAGCCUCUCCCAGCUGUGUCCACUGGCAGCCAGGAUGUAGACCUAGACCUGGAGGAGGCCACUCCUGACCUUACACCCUCGGCUGGGGCAGAGGAACAACUGGAUGAAGAACCAUCCAGGCCUCUAGGUGGUGCUCCCAUAAAGGCCUUGAGGAAACUACUGACCCGCGUCAGGUCACAGAGAGACCAGUGGGGCUACCGGAGGCUGGUUGACCCCACGUCUGACUGCCAAACUAUUCAGACAGCGGAGUUCUACUUGACCUCAGAUGGUACGACUAGUCAGGUUUUCUGGCCAGCGAAAAGCGGGGCCGACCGUUGACCACUAGUCCCAGACUCCGUGACCCCUCUCAGCCAGCCCAAGCUAUAGAGACAACAGAGGAGUACAUCAUAGCUGGUACCCUGCUCCAUCCUGAUAAACAAGCCAUCAAAAUCCACACAUUUGAAACAGAGGGGAAGAGAAGGUAUCCUAUUUUAGGGAAUUUCCAAACAGCAGCCUCUUACAAUUCCCCUUCCUCCCACCCACGUCCCUCUGCAGUGAUAGAGGGGUCAGUGUUUGAGGAGCCCAGCUUUUCUGUGUCCCAGCAACAGCAGAAGCCCUGGUCAAAGCAACUGCAGGAGAAUGAGGGACCAGACAGGUCACCUGUGUGGGGGUCCGACCCACACACUCUCCCCUUGGACACAGAGUCAGGAGCUCCGAGGCACGACCAAGUGGGUUCAUUCACAACCCUCACACUCUAUUCAAUGGCAAUAUGGGAUCAGAGUAAAUACUCAAAUUUUGAUGUUUUAGUAUCGACAUUGACUCUAUAUAUAUUCAGGAAUGGGACACUGUCAACCAAGGCAGGACUCUACUAUCAGCCCAAUGAUUGGCCAGCCCUUGGAUAAGUCAUCCUCACCGGGCCAUGGGUGGGACUUUUAGCCAAAUUAUUGGCCAGCUCUCGGGUCAAUCAACCUCACUGGACCAAGGGUGGGAUUCGACUUUGAGCAGAAUGAUUGGCGGACUCUCCAAUCAGUCAACCUCUGAGCCAGCUGAUUGGUCAGAUUCGACUGGACCAGUCAUCCCAGUGGCUGGAUAAAGGCCAGGAUGAGAGCCAGAUGAUGGGGCCUCUGGUUGGAGAGCUGGAUGAGUCUGCUGCCCAAUGGAGUGGGAGCUCAGGAGCUGAUGGGUCUAACUCCCUAGGCUGGGUGCAUCUGAGAGGCUCAGGCCAGACAGGAGUGUCAUCUCACCAAGAGGGAGCCCCUGAAGCCCAUUCACAGAGCAGCUCCUUUCCCCCUGGACUAGAACCUCUGCCACACUACCAGUGCCUGCAGUGCUCUGCCACCAGUUUCCAGGAAGUAGACAGGACUGGGGGUGGGCAGUGUGAAGGGGAUAAUGGACGAUUCCAUGCUGACCCUGGUGAGCCUGACAGACACUACAUUAAAGGACCAUGGACUUGCUGAGGAAGGAGAGAUGGAUGAGGUAUCAGACCAAGAAGGCAUUGUGGAGAAGGAAUCCGAGUGGACAGUGUUGCCAGAGGAGGAUGCCAGCCUACAGGAGGAAGAGACAACCCCCUCUCAUGCAGUGAUGCUGCUGGAGUUCCAGUCGUGUCCCAGCAUGAAUCUAGAGGAGGCCUUCCAGCAGAAACGCAGAGCCCUGAUCCAGAGGUCUGCCUGCAGGGUGGAGGAGAUUCAGGCCAAGAUGGCUGAAGCCAAAGCAAACACCAGGGCCCAGUCUGAAACCACAGACCAGGGCCAACACAACCACCAGGGCCUAGUCUGACCCAACCACUGUUCAGUCAUCCACUACUAAACCCAGGAGAGAGGGGAGGAGUGCAGAGUCAACCCAUGCAGGAGUGGAUGCCAAGCAGAUAAAGCAUUAGCCAAAGCUCCAAACUCCCUUGCAGCCUCCCUUGCUAGCCAAGCUGAAGAAGGUUGGGGAGGUGAGGAUCAGCACUCCUGAGAUGAGGAAACAGGAUGUGGCUGACAUGCGCCAGAGAACAGAGAGGUUGUACAGCUGACUAGAUGAGGUGAAGCUUCAGGAGGUCAGGAGCAGACAGGAGGCAUAUGCCAAAGAGUUUCGCCAGAAGCUACGGGCCAAGCAGUUUCCGCAAUGGUACUGAAUAUCAGUUUUAUCUGUUGUGUGUUCUGUUUGCACUUAUUUUGUACUUCCAUGUGUAUUUGUACAGUUUAAUCAGUAAUGUAAAAUAUAUUUUAAAAGUGUGUAUAUAAUCUACAUUCAGUGUAUUCAUCACAAUUUACUACUGUGUUCACACAACAAAAGCAGCCAGUGCACUAUUGCACCUUGAAUACUGUAGGUACACACAUUGCAUUAUGAGAAUGUUAUGUUGCCUGUAAAAAUAUUUUUGUUUUAGGUUUUUAUAGCCAAUAAAGUUGCUUUUUGCUGA